UACGGGGGGUGCGAGCGUUGUCCGGAAUCACUGGGCGUAAAGGGCGCGUAGGUGGUUUGAUAAGGGUGUGGUGAAAGUCCGGAGCUCAACUCCGGAUCUGCCGUGCCGACUGUCAAACUCGAGGGCUGUAGAGGCAGACGGAAUUCCGGGUGUAGCGGUGGAAUGCGUAGAGAUCCGGAGGAAGACCGGUGGCGAAGGCGGUCUGCUGGGCAGUUUCUGACACUGAGGCGCGGCAGCGUGGGGAGCAAACAGG
rnacentral:rRNA from 1 species